GAAGAAGUACGGCUAUUCAGAAUGAGGGUCCAGCCUAGUGCACUCUGUUUUGGUGCGUGUGACCUGGAACGUGCUUCACUUUGUUUUCGUCCGGUAUUGAACGCAGUUUAUCCCGUCUUUAAUUUGAUCUAUUAUUUACCUUUUAAAAUAUCUAAAGUUGGAUUAGGAAAGUUGCUUGAAAUGUUUGGACAAAGUUUACAGGUAACUUAUCAGAUAUUUUGUAGUCAUGUUGGGCGAGUUGGCACCGGUGUUUUUCUGAAUGAAACGCGCCAAAUAAAUGGACAUUUUGGAGAUAUAACGACGGAAAUAAUCGAACAAAAGGACCAUUUGUGAUGUUUAUGGGACCUAUUGGAGUGCCAACAGAAGAAGCUCUUCAAAGGGUCUUCCUUUCCUGUGGCGGUCCUCAUGAGAGCCAGUUUCAUCAUAGCGCUUGAUGGUUUUUGCGACUGCACUUGAAGAAACUUUCAAAGUUCUUGAAAUGUUCCAAAUUGACUGACCUUCAUGUCUUAAAGUAAUGAUGGACUGUCAUUUCUGUAUCUACAACUUGAUUGGAGUCCACCUGUGGUAAAUUCAAUUGAUUGGACAGGAUUUGGAAAGGCAAACACCUGUUUAUAUAAGGUCCCGCAGUUGACAGUGCAUGUCAGAGCAUAAACCAAGCUAUGAGGUCAAAGGAAUUGUCCGUAGCGCUCCGAGACAGGAUUAUGUCGAGGCAAAGAUCCGGCCAAAAUGAGCAAUCAGAGGAGAAGGGCCUUGGUCAGGGAGGUGACCAAGGACCCAAUGGUCACUCCGACAGAGCUCCAGAGUUCCUCUGUUGAGAUGAGAGAACCUUCCAGAAGAACAACUUUCUCCGCAGUAUUCCACCAAUCAGGUCUUUAUGGUAGAGUAGCCAGACGGAAGUCACUCCUCAGUAAAAUGCACAUGACAGCCCACUUAGAGUUUGCCAAAAGUCACCUAAAGAACUCUCAGACCAUGAGAAACAAGACUGAACUCUUUGGCCUGAAUUCCAAGCAUCACGUCUAGAGGAAACCUGGCACCAUCCCUACAGUGAAGCAUGGUGGUGGCAGCAUCAUGCUGUGGUGAUGUUUUUUAGUGGCAGGGACUUGGAGACUAAUCAGGAUAGAGGGAAAGAUGAACCGAGCAAAGUAUUGAGAGAUCCUUGAUGAAAGCCUGCUCCAGAGCGCUCAGGACCUCAGACUGGGGGCGAAGGUUCCCCUUCCAAAAGGACAACGACCGAAAGCACACAGCCAAGACAACGCAGGAGUGGCUUCGGUACAAGCCUCUGAAUGUUCUUGAGUGGCCCAGCCAGAACCCAAUCGAACAUCUCUGGAGAAACCUGAUAAUAGCUGUGCAGCGAUGCUCCCCAUCCAACCUACCAAAG
rnacentral:lncRNA from 1 species